rnacentral:ncRNA from 1 species
CCGAUAGAGGCGCGGCGCUCAUCAGUAGCUCGAACCACCCGGCCGGGACCGGGCGAGGGAAAGGGAUCGCCGCCGAAGGGUCGCCGGGUCCCCUGACCGUCGAUCGCCUGGGCCGUCGGAGAACAUCCGCCGGACUGCCAUUUGUAUGAAUGGAGCGCUAUCA